rnacentral:rRNA from 1 species
GAGUUUGAUCGUGGCUCAGGACGAACGCUGGCGGCGUGCCUAACACAUGCAAGUCGAGCGAGUGGAGUUCUUCGGAACAAAGCUAGCGGCGGACGGGUGAGUAACACGUGGGCAACCUGCCUCAUAGAGGGGAAUAGCCUCCCGAAAGGGAGAUUAAUACCGCAUAAGAUUGUAGCUUCGCAUGAAGUAGCAAUUAAAGGAGCAAUCCGCUAUGAGAUGGGCCCGCGGCGCAUUAGCUAGUUGGUGAGGUAACGGCUCACCAAGGCGACGAUGCGUAGCCGACCUGAGAGGGUGAUCGGCCACAUUGGGACUGAGACACGGCCCAGACUCCUACGGGAGGCAGCAGUGGGGAAUAUUGCACAAUGGGGGAAACCCUGAUGCAGCAACGCCGCGUGAGUGAUGACGGCC